rnacentral:tRNA from 1 species
AAAAUGUUAAGAUAUUAAUAAUCUAUCAAAUUGUGGUUUUGAUUAUACUAUAGUACAUUUUA